UGACUGUGUUUGUCAUCAUUGAGGAGAAAUAAUCACACAACAUGACUCCCAUCUUCAUGGUCUUCUGGAUAUUUACAUCCUCUUUUACAGAGUCAUAUGGACAGGUCACUGUGACUCAGACUCCUGCAGUGAAAGCUGUUCAACAGGGAGGAUCAGUCACUCUGAACUGUAGAACCAGCAGGGAUGUAGAGGAUGCCGGGAAUAGGUACCGUAGAUUAGCCUGGUACCAACAGAAACCUGGAGCAGCUCCUAAACUCCUCAUCUAUUACGGCAGCACACUCCAGUCUGGGACUCCAUCCAGAUUCAGUGGCAGUGGAACUCACAGUGACUUCACUCUGACCAUCAGUGAUGUCCAGGCUGAGGAUGCAGGAGUUUACUACUGUCAGAGUGGACACUAUCCCUACAGUAAAUGGGUGUUCACACAGUGA